rnacentral:rRNA from 1 species
CGGCCAGACUCCUACGGGAGGCAGCAGUGAGGAAUAUUGGUCAAUGGACGGAAGUCUGAACCAGCCAUGCCGCGUGCAGGAAGACGGCUCUAUGGGUUGUAAACUGCUUUUGUACAAGGGUAAACCUGAAUACGUGUAUUCAGCUGAAAGUACUGUACGAAUAAGGAUCGGCUAACUCCGUGCCAGCAGCCGCGGUAAUACGGAGGAUCCAAGCGUUAUCCGGAUUUAUUGGGUUUAAAGGGUGCGUAGGCGGUUUGAUAAGUUAGAGGUGAAAUACCGGUGCUCAACACCGGAACUGCCUCUAAUACUGUUGAACUAGAGAGUAGUUGCGGUAGGCGGAAUGUAUGGUGUAGCGGUGAAAUGCUUAGAGAUCAUACAGAACACCGAUUGCGAAGGCAGCUUACCAAACUAUAUCUGACGUUGAGGCACGAAAGCGUGGGUAGCAAACAGGAUUAGAUACCCGCGUA